AUGGCGGCGGUCCUGGAUUCUUUGGCAUCCUAUGUCGCUGACAUGGUCAUCGAGAUGGCCAAAGAAGAGGUGGCCAUGCUGAUUGGAGUGUCCGGUGAGAUAGAAAAUCUGGGCAUCAAGCUUAGGGACCUCAAGAACUUCCUUGCAGAUGCCGAUAGGAGGAACAUCACUGAUGACAGCGUGCAGGGGUGGGUGGAGGAACUGAAGCGUGCCAUGUAUGAUGUUACCGACAUCCUUGACUUGUGUCAGCUCAAAGUAAUGGAGCAAGGUCCAUCCAAGGAUAUGGGGUGCCUAAACCCUCUGCUCUUCUGCAUGAGGAACCCCCUCCAUGCCCACGACAUUGGCAGCCGCAUCAAGACACUUAACCAAAAGUUGGAUGACAUCUUCAAGAGGGGUAGUAGUUUCAAUUUCAUCAAGCUAGAAGCCUACCAGGACCGGAUGGUGACCCGUUCUCAAGCUGUUGACCGCAAGACGGAUCCGUUGUUGGAGCGGUCGGGUGUGGUUGGGGAGAAGAUUGAAGAUGACACGAGAGCGCUUGUGAAGGUGCUCACAGAGGAAGUAGCUGAUGAUAGUGAUAGCAUCAUGAUUGUUGCCAUCGCUGGUGUCGGUGGAAUUGGUAAGACUACCUUCAGCAAGAAGGUCUUCAACGACGAGGCAAUCCAAGGCAAAUUCGCCAAGAAGAUAUGGCUGAGCAUCACACAGGUGUUCAAUGAGGUUGAGUUGCUGAGGACGGCCAUCACAGCUGCCAAUGGAAACCUGCCUGGCUCUGGGGGUGGGUCUCGGGAUAAAGCGUUCCUUGUGCCAGCUCUUGCUGACGCCGUCAGGGACAAGAAGAUUUUUCUUGUGUUGGAUGACAUGUGGGGAACCAACGAAUGGAACAACUUGCUCAUGGCUCCCUUUAGCCAUGCUGCACCCAAUAGUCGAAUCCUUGUCACCACAAGACAUGAGACUGUUGCCCGAGGCAUGAAAGCCAAGCAUCCCUACCACCAUGUUGGCAAAUUAGGGCCUGAAGAUGCAUGGACCUUGCUGAAGAAGCAGGUACUCGCUACAGAGAAAAGUGAACCUGCGAUUGAUAUGCUAAAGGAUAUUGGACUGGAAAUUAUAGAAAAAUGUGAUGGGUUACCACUUGCAAUAAAAGUGAUGGGAGGACUCCUAUGCCAAAAGGAUAAACAGCGAUGUGAUUGGGAGAAAGUUCUGAAUGAUGCUAUAUGGUCAAUAUCUCGAAUGCCAGAAGAGCUAAAUUAUGCAAUAUAUAUUAGCUACGGGGACUUGUCCCCUUCUUUAAAGCAAUGCUUUCUGCACUACUCCCUUAAGCCUAAGAAGACAAUUAUACAUGACGUACAAUUGGUCGGCAUGUGGAUUGGUGAAGGAUUUGUUCAUGGAGACUCUGAUAGAUUGGAAGAACUAGGAAUUGAGUACCAUAAAGAGCUAAUAUUGAGGAUCCUUAUAGAGCCAGAUACAUCAUAUGCCGGUCAAUAUAUUUGCAACAUGCAUGAUGUUGUUCGUUCAUUCGCUCAAUAUGUGACUAGAGAUGAAGCACUAGUAGCUCACCGCGGAGGAACUGUUAAUAGUAAACUUAGUUUGCAAAGGUUUCUUAGGUUGUCCAUAGAAACCAGAGGAGUGGAAUCAGAUGAAUUUGAGUGGAGGAGUUUACAUGAGCAGAAAUCACUUAGAUCAUUAAUACUAGUUGGAAAAUUUAAGAUUCAGUCUGGUGAUUCCUUGAUUCCUUUUUCAAGUCUACGGACUCUGCACAUAGAGUAUGCAAAUUUUGCUGCAUUGUUCAAAUCUUUGUAUCAGCUCAAACACUUGAGGUAUUUGGCACUAAGGGAAUGCAAUGAUAUAAAGAGCUUGCGAGAGAACAUUCACAAAAUGAAGUUCUUGCAGCACAUUAGUGUUGCUGGUUGUCAGAAUCUUGUGAAACUUCCGGAUACCAUUGUAAAGUUACAAGGACUGAGAUAUCUUGAACUUUACGGCACAUCUGUAAGUAGUAUGCCUAUUCCUCAAAAAAAAAGUAUGCCUAGGGGGUUCUCUGCUCUCACAAAUUUGAGGAUACUUUGGGGGUUCCAUACCCACAUGGAUGGUGAUUGGUGUAGUUUGGAAGAGCUCCAGCCGCUUUCCCAGCUUGGGGAAAUUGGAUUAGCAAGUCUGGAGAAUGUAUCCGCUGCCUCAUUUGCCACAAAGGCAAGGCUGAGUGAAAAGGUCUAUCUUUCCUGCAUGGCCUUAUACUGUAAGAGCAGGCUAGGCGAUGAUGGAUUAGUGAAGGAAGAAGUUUCUGAGCAGGAUCAAGGAACAAUUAUGGAGGUAUUUGAUGAGCUCUAUCCUCCGCCUUAUGUGCAAGAUAUUCGCAUCCAAGGAUAUUUCGGGCGUCAGCUCCCAAAAUGGAUGAUGUCGACAGCAACGACGCCCCUCAAUAGCUUGAGGAUACUAAUAUUUGAAGACCUGGCUUGUUGCAUCCAACUCCCUAAUGGCUUGUGUCAGCUCCCAUAUCUGGAUUACCUGGAGGUCAACCGUGCUCCGGCAAUCAAGCGUGUCGGUCCUGAAUUCUUGCAGCCCUAUAGUCACCAUCACCAUGCUUCAUUUCAGGCGCUAGCUGCAUUUCCGAGACUGAACAAGAUGAUCUUUAGGAAAAUGGUGGAAUGGGAGGAGUGGGAUUGGGAGGAGGACAUGCAAGCUAUGCCUGUCUUGGAGGAGCUUAUAAUCCAUGAUUGUAAACGGCGUAUUCCUCUCGGCCUCGUGUCCCAUGCAAGGGCUUUGAAAAAGCUAACCAUAUGGUCCAUCAAGUGCCUCCACUCUCUAGAGAACUUCGCCUCCGUAGUUGAGCUCGACCUGUAUGACUUACCAGAGCUGACUAGCAUCUCCAAUUUGCCCAAAUUGCAAAAGCUUGCCAUCAACUGCUGCCCAAAGCUUGAGUCGCUGCAGGAGAUGACUGUACUCCGGAGACUCGUGCUGACAGUUUUCUAUAAUGAGAAACGACUUCCAUUGUUCAUGCAAACUGUAAAGCCCAGUCAUUUGCUUCUGGACUGCAGCCCAGAGGUACUCGCCUCCAUGGCUGUGGGAAAAUCUGGCGUUGAGUGGGACAUGUUCAGCCAUAUCCAGCAUGUCGAGGCUUAUGCAAACGACGAAGGCACUGAAAAGAGAUGGCACCUAUUUUACACAAGAGAGCCCUACAAAAUGGAGACAAAUGUGGAGGCAAAUCAGCAGUUUCGCUUGGCAGGAUUAAUCUAA
rnacentral:rRNA from 1 species